rnacentral:lncRNA from 10 species
UCAUCUUCCUACAGCACUGAAAUUACAGAAUCCUUGAAGGAGAACUAGGAUUACAGUUACUGUUCUUUAAGCUUAAAAUGAGCUUCAAUCAAGAGGAAGAAGGAAAAUUGCUUAAGUCAGACCCGACAGCUAAAGCUGCACAUCUGGCAGUGGUGAGUGGCCCUCAGUCUCCACUGAGGGACACUGAGUGUCUCCAGCAUCUCAAUAGGAAGCUUCCUGCAGACCAACUAUAAUCUAUUGGCACCCAAGUGGGGAGUUUCUAUGGGCCAGCUUCAACCCAUGACACCCUAGUAAAAGUCACCAACAUCCGAACAUGUGACCUCCUGCAGACCAGCUCUGGCCCACAGGACCCAGUGAAGUUCUCUGCUCUUCAGCAGGUAGCAGUUGUGCCCUCUCCAGUGGGGUCAAAAAUCUCAGCCAUUGGUAUGAGCUGGUGCUUUUCAAACUUUUAGCUCCUUCUCUGGGUAUUCUUUUUUACCUUAGGAGUAUAACUGCCCCCAACAUUUGCUGUGAGUACUUUUUAGUCUACUUAGUAGUCAAUCACAUUUUACCAGUUAAGAACUUUUUCUAUAAAGUUUUCCCCAUUCAAAUUCCUGGUGUGGUUUCUUUUUCUUGACUGGAUCAUGACUGAUUAAAUAACAUAGUUACUGGGCUCCUGUUAGAUACAAUACACUAUGUUAGGUACUGGAGACACAGCAGUAAAGAAGACAGACAAGGUUCCUGUCCUCAACACCCCUACAGUUUCCAUGUAAUAAACAAG